GAUGAAGAACGUAGCAAAAUGCGAUACUUGGUGUGAAUUGCAGAAUCCCGUGAACCAUCGAGUUUUUGAACGCAAGUUGCGCCCGAAGCCUUUUGGCCGAGGGCACGUCUGCCUGGGCGUCACGCAUCGCGUCGCCCCCCACAAAUUCUCCGUCAGGGGAGCUUGUGUUUCGGGGGCAGAUACUGGUCUCCCGUGCUCAUGGCGCGGUUGGCCGAAAUAGGAGUCCCUUCGAUGGACGCACGAACUAGUGGUGGUCGUAAAAACCCUCGUCUUUUGUUUCGUGCCGUUAGUCGCGAGGGAAGCUCUUCAAAAACCCCAACGCGUCGUCUCUUGACGGCGCUUCGACCGCGACCCCAGGUCAGGCGGGACUACCCGCUGAGUUUAAGCAUAUCAAUAAGCGGAGGA
rnacentral:misc_RNA from 1 species